GCCUUACUUAAGGUCAUGUCAUGGAUCACGGAGGUGUUAGCUGUGGCUCAAUCCAAAGUCUGUGUUCAUUGUCAAUGCCAUCACUAAACAGUGCUGCAACAGUGCACGUGCAGAUUUGAAGUGCCGUGUUACUGCAGGAUGGAGUCAAACACCUCAGUGUUGGCACACUGUAAUCAAUUUUCUGAGCAUCGUUAUAGUAUGGCAGAUUGGAAUGUUCAAAUCCAUGCCCAGUCCAAUUGCUGACUUUUGAUUGCAGCUGGAAUAACAGUUUAUAUGAAUCAGGAGAAAGAUUUCCUUCACCAAUGUCAUCUUGACAAAUGCAUCAUGGUGAAGAAGGCUCUGUUGCAACAGUGUGAUGUGUGCACGUGCAGACAGUGACAUCCAUCUCUGCCAGCCACAUUCACAUUAGCAACACACUCUCCACAAUCCAAAAUGCGAAACCUCCAAACUUCAGCAUUUUAUCAGCGAUUACUUUCCCCAGUGUUGGGUUCAAGCCCACUCCAUUGCCUUGGACACACUAUGUUGCUGGCAGCAGUGCAACACUAAAGAAAUAUUGUGUUUUGGAGUUGCCCCAUUUGGAUGAAAUGUUAAAUCAAGACCCUUUCUACCCUUCUGAGGUAUCAGGUGGAUAUAAAAAUAAUCCUAUGGCACAUUCAACGAAGAGGAGAGGAGUUCUCCGUGAUGUGGUACCCAUCAACUGACAGCUCCAGCAGAUGUUCAGCAUAAUUGUGUGACCUAUUUGAAAGGGGGCAAGGCGCACCAGGGUCGCCCAUAGCACAACUGAAAUCAAACUGGCACACAACACCUCGACCGGCUGCUUCUCUGCCCCAUUCAGAGGUUGGAUUUUUCGAUUGUUCAAUGAGAUGCAUUUGGGAGACAAUGUUGCAAAGACUGGUGAAU